rnacentral:tRNA from 2 species
UCCUGAUUAGCUCAAUUGGUAGAGCGUCUCAUUCGAGAUGAAGAGGUCUCUGUUUCGAUACCAGGACCAGGCG